UAGGAUAGUGGCCUACCAUG
rnacentral:siRNA from 1 species